GACGAACGCUGGCGGCAGGCUUAACACAUGCAAGUCGAGCGCAUCCUUCGGGGUGAGCGGCAGACGGGUGAGUAACGCGUGGGAACGUACCCUUACCUACGGACUAGCUCAGGGGAACUGGAAUUAAUACCGUAUACGCCGUUAGGGGGAAAGAUUUAUCGGGGAAGGAUCGGCCCGCGUUGGAUUAGCUAGUUGGUGGGGUAAAGGCCUACCAAGGCGACGAUCCAUAGCUGGUCUGAGAGGAUGAUCAGCCACAUUGGGACUGAGACACGGCCCAAACUCCUACGGGAGGCAGCAGUGGGGAAUAUUGGACAAUGGGCGCAAACCUGAUCCAGCCAUGCCGCGUGAGUGAUGAAGGCCUUAGGGUUGUAAAGCUCUUUCAGUAGGGAAGAUAAUGACGGUACCUACAGAAGAAGCCCCGGCUAACUUCGUGCCAGCCGCCGCAGUAA
rnacentral:rRNA from 1 species